GAUGAACGCUGGCGGCGUGCCUAAUACAUGCAAGUCGAACGGACGGACGCUACUCUUGUUUCUCUGAUGUUUGCGGCGCACGUGUGUGUCACGCGUGUAUCCCCUACCUAUCUUUCUGGGAUCACUUCGGAACUCCGGCUCUUAUCCCAGAUGAUCUUUUGCUCCGCAUUGUUCAAAAGUGAAAUACGGUCUUUGUGUCUCGUCUCGCUGGUUCCGCGCUGCAUUAUCUAGUUGUUACGUUAACGGCUUACCACGGCGACGAUGCAUAGCCGACCUGAGGGGGUGAUCGGCCACACUGGAACUGAGACACGGUCCAGACGCCUACGGGAGGCAGCAGUAGGGAAUCGUCCGCAAUGGGCGAAAGCCUGACGGAGCAACGCCGCGUGAGUGAUGAAGGUCUUCGGAUCGUAAAACUCUGUUAUUAGGGAAGAACAUAUGUGUAAGUAACUGUGCACAUCUUGACGGUACCUAAUCAGAAAGCCACGGCUAACUACGUG
rnacentral:rRNA from 1 species